UACAGAGGUCCCGAGCGUUGUUCGGAUUCAUUGGGCGUAAAGGGUGCGUAGGCGGCGCGGUAAGUCGGGUGUGAAAUCUUGGAGCUUAACUCCGAAACUGCAUUCGAUACUGCCGUGCUUGAGGACUGGAGAGGAGACUGGAAUUUACGGUGUAGCGGUGAAAUGCGUAGAUAUCGUAAGGAAGACCAGUGGCGAAGGCGAGUCUCUGGACAGUUACUGACGCUGAGGCACGAAGGCCAGGGGAGCAAACGGG
rnacentral:rRNA from 1 species